AAAACGACUCUCGGCAACGGAUAUCUUGGCUCUCGCAUCGAUGAAGAACGUAGCGAAAUGCGAUACUUGGUGUGAAUUGCAGAAUCCCGUGAACCAUCGAGUCUUUGAACGCAAGUUGCGCCCCAAGCCGUUAGGCCGAGGGCACGUCUGCCUGGGUGUCACGC
rnacentral:rRNA from 1 species